rnacentral:rRNA from 1 species
AUUGAACGCUGGCGGCAGGCCUAACACAUGCAAGUCGAACGAGUGGCGGACGGGUGAGUAAUGUAUGGGAAUCUGCCUGAUGGAGGGGGAUAACUACUGGAAACGGUAGCUAAUACCGCAUACUAUCGGAUGUGCCCAGAUGGGAUUAGCUAGUAGGUGGGGUAAAGGCUCACCUAGGCGACGAUCUCUAGCUGGUCUGAGAGGAUGAUCAGCCAAACGGGAACGGAGACACGGUCCAGACUCCUACGGGAGGCAGCAGUGGGGAAUAUUGCACAAGGGGGGCAAGCCUGAUGCAGCCAUGCCGCGUGUAUGAAGAAGGCCUUCGGGUUGUAAAGUACUUUCAGCGGGGAGGCGUUACCCGCAGAAGAAGCACCGGCUAACUCCGUGCCAGCAGCCGCGGUAAUAC